AAAAACAUAGCUUUAUGAAAAUUUUUUAUAAAGUAUAACCUGCCCAAUGAUUUAUUUGAAUGGCCGCAGUACUUUGACUGUGCUAAGGUAGCAUAAUAAGUUGACUUGUAAUUAAGGUCUGGAAUGAAAGGAUAAAUGAAUAUUUGCUGUCUUUAAAGAAUUAAUAUUAAGUUUCUUAAUAGAUGAAAAUAUCUAUAAGAAAAUUUAAAGGACGAGAAGACCCUAGGAGUUUGAAUUUAUUUUUGUUGGGGCAACAUUAUAGAAAGCAACCUAUAAAAUAUUAGUUAAAUAUUAAACAAAUUAUAUUAAUUAAGAAUAAGCUACCCUAGGGAUAACAGCAUAAUUUGUUGUAAGAUAAGUUUGUGACCUCGAUGUUGGACUAGGAACUUUAAUUAUUAAAUAUAUUUAUUGACUUGUUCUGUUCGAACAUUUUAUACCUACAUGAUCUGAAAAAUAGUAGGU
rnacentral:rRNA from 1 species